rnacentral:misc_RNA from 1 species
ACGCUCAAGACGUUCAUCGCGGAAGACAACACCAGCCUGCUGCGCGGCGAAGUCGCCCACGGCAAGGCGUACGGCGCGCUGGCGCUGGGCAUGGGAUCGCGCGCGAUCUUCAAGCGCGCCAACGAGCAGCCGUAUUUUNNNNNCCAUGGCGCGCGGCGCGCUGGUGCCGGUGCCGGGCGGUGUCCUCAUCAAUGACAAGGACGGCAACCUGCUCGGCGCCAUCGGAAUCAGCGGCGACACUUCCGACAACGACGAAAC